GACGAACGCUGGCGGCGUGCUUAACACAUGCAAGUCGAACGGAAAGGCCCUGCUUGCAGGGUACUCGAGUGGCGAACGGGUGGGUAACACGCGGGUGAUCUGCCCUGCACUUCGGGAUAAGCUUGGGUAACUGGGUCUAUUACCGGAUAGGACCGCACUCGAGUGUGUGUGGUGGAAAGUUUUUUCGGUGUAGGAUGAGCUCGCGGCCUAUCAGCUUGUUGGUGGGGUAAUGGCCUACCAAGGCGGCGACGGGUGGCCGGCCGGAGAGGGUGUACGGCCACAUUGGAACUGAGAUACGGGACAGACUCCUACGGGAGGCAGCAGUGGGGAAUAUUGAACAAUGGGCGCAAGCCUGAUGCAGCGACGCCGCGUGCGGGGUGAAGGAUUUCGGGUUGUAAACUCCUUUCGCUAGGGACGAAGCUUUGUUGUGACGGUACCUAGAUAAGAAGCACCGGCUAACUACGUG
rnacentral:rRNA from 1 species